rnacentral:rRNA from 1 species
GUGGGGAAUCUUGCGCAAUGGGCGAAAGCCUGACGCAGCCAUGCCGCGUGAAUGAUGAAGGUCUUAGGAUUGUAAAAUUCUUUCACCGGGGACGAUAAUGACGGUACCCGGAGAAGAAGCUCCGGCUAACUUCGUGCCAGCAGCCGCGGUAAUACGAAGGGGGCUAGCGUUGCUCGGAAUUACUGGGCGUAAAGGGCGCGUAGGCGGACAGCUUAGUCAGAGGUGAAAGCCCAGGGCUCAACCUUGGAAUUGCCUUUGAUACUGGCUGUCUUGAGUUUGGGAGAGGUGAGUGGAACUCCGAGUGUAGAGGUGAAAUUCGUAGAUAUUCGGAAGAACACCAGUGGCGAAGGCGACUCACUGGCCCAAUACUGACGCUGAGGUGCGAAAGCGUGGGGAGCAAACAGGAUUAGAAACCCUUGUAGUCC